GUGAUUGGAUGAGACGUGGGCACCUGAGCUCCAGACAGCCAAUCCAUAGGCUGACCUGCCCACCUCAGUGUGGUCCAGAUUGAGGAUGGGAGCCAGCUAAUCAAGGUGAUACUUUCUGGAAUUGGAACAGGGGAAACAUGGAGAGGUUGAGCUGGUUAACAGCUGGGCCAGAAGGUGAAAGGGUGCCAUAGGUUGAUGCCUGGGGCCAGCAGAAAUUGUGAGGGAGCAGGUGCCAGAAGUAAAGAGAAAUAAAGCAAUUAGCAGAGAGGAGGAUGGAACAGACACAGAGGGGGAGGAUGUGCCAUGAGGGAGACCUUGCAGCUCAGCGGAGAGACAGAGGAAGACCUUCUGCUUCUGGGGACUGCUUUGGUUCCUGGCAGCCUUUCAGAUGCAGGGUGAAGCCUGAAAAAGAGAACUCUUUCCCUGGGGCACUGGCGGGAUUAUUUUCCCUUGGGACCCGACAAGAGCCUGAAUGAUGGUGGACAUUCCUCUUCCUGUAGGUGGAAGCUGAGGUUCCCAUGGAAGGCUCUUUGUGACGAUGUGAUGAACCAUCCCUCCCAUGCUCCUUAGUGAUAUCACAUCACUGCUUUUCUCAUCAAGAAGUGAUGUCCUCUCUCCUCUCCUGGAAUCCCAGCUUGGAGACGUGCCCUGUUAGGCCAGUGGGCCAUUCGCAAAUGUGAUGCAAGCAGAGGCUUGAAACCCUCCUUUGUGUGAGGUUUGCCCUCUCUCUGUUGUGGUUGGAGUGGAAACGAGGAUGUGAGCGAGCCUGAGCUCAUCUCCUGAAGAGCCCACAUGGAAAACCGAAGCAUCCCAGCCUGAAGAUUGACAACUGCUAGUUGCGUGUGUGAAGACCUCUGAGCCUAUCCAGCCCGAAUCAGACCACCAGAUGACUGCAGCUGUGUGAGAGACCCCAGGCAAUACCACCGGCAGGGUUCCCAAUGAACCCAGCCACAUUGUUGACCAGCAAAAUCAUGAGCCAGGAAAAUGGAAUGCAGAGCUGGGGCCAGCACGGGUGGAUAGUGUUCUCUGGAGCAGGGCUCCUCAAAGUGUGGGCCACAGACUGGCUGCUUGAUACAGUCCAUGACAAGGAACAGCCCUCCGGCUCCUACACCAGGAACAAAGGAGGUGGGAGAUUAGUGUGGGGGAGAGCAGAGGAAGCAGCCUGCGCAUGUCCAGAGGGGAACGAGAUCAGCUCCACUGGACUCUUGAGAGUCCCUUGGACUGCAAGGAGAUGCAACCAAUCCAUUCUGAAGGAGAUCAGCCCUGGGAUUUCUUUGGAAGGAAUGAUGCUGAAGCUGAAACUCCAGUACUUUGGCCACCUCAUGAGAAGAGUUGACUCAUUGGAAAAGACUCUGAUGCUGGGAGGGAUUGGAGGCAAGAGGAGAAGGGGACGACAGAGGAUGAGAUGGCUGGAUGGCAUCGCCGACUCGAUGGACGUGAGUUUGAGUCAACUCCAGGAGUUGGUGAUGGACAGGGAGGCCUGGUGUGCUGCGAUUCAUGGGGUUGGAAAGAGUCGGACACGACUGAGCGACUGAACUGAACUGAACUGAACUGAAUGCCUAAUGAUGCUGGGCAUCUUUUCAUGUAUUCAUCGUCUACUUGCAUAUCUUCUCUGAAGAAAUAUCUGUUUUGAUCCUUUGCCCAUUUUUAUGUUGGGCUUUUUAUCUUUUUAUUAUUGAAUUGCAAGAGUUCUUUAUGUAUUCUGGAUACAAGCCCUUUGUCAGAGAUAUGCUUUCUGCAUAUUUUAUCUUAUUCUGUGGGUAGUCUUUUCAUUUUCUCAGUGGUAUCAUUUGCAGCACAGUUAAAAAUUUUUUAGCAUAUUACAAAAAUAAUUUUAUUGAGGUAUGAUUUAUAUACCACAAAUUGCACCAUUUUUAAGCUCACAAUCCAGUGAUUUUUAGUAAAUUUACAGAGUUGUGCAUCACUAUAACCAUCAUCUAAUUUAGUGUUAGAACAUGUCUAUCACCCUCUAGAAAGCUAUUGGGCCAUUUCCAGUUAAUUGCUGUUAAACUACCAGUCCCAGCUAGCCAAAAGAUUUGCCUGUUUGGAUAUGUUGGUAUAAGUGGAAUCAUACAAUACGUGUUCUUUUAUGUAUGGCUUCUUUCACUUAGCAUAAAAUUUUGAGGUUUACCCAUGUUAUAACUUGUGUCAGUAGCUCAUUACUUUUUCGUUGCUGACUAGUAUUCCAUUGUUAUCUAUUCAUUAGUUGAUGAACAUUUGAGUUAUUUUUAGUUUGGAACUAUUAUGAAUAACACUGCUAUGAUUCAAUGUAAUUGUCUUAGCUCUGGUUUCUUUUUUGGCGGGGUCUGUUCUGGGUCUUUAGUUUGCAGCUAUUAUGAAUAACACUGCUAUGAUUCAAUGUAAUUGUCUUAGCUCUGGCUUCUUUUGGGGGGGUCUCUGUUCUGGGUCUUUAGUUUGCAGCUAUUAUGAAUAACACUGCUAUGAUUCAAUGUAAUUGUCUUAGCUCUGGCUUCUUUUGGGGGGUCUCUGUUCUGGGUUUUUAGUUUGGAGCUAUUAUGAAUAACACUGCUAUGAUUCAAUGUAUCUGUCUUAGCUCCAGUUUCUUUUUUGGGGGGCUGUUCUGGGUCUUCAUUGAGGCACUUGAGCUCCUUUAGUU
ensembl:lncRNA